UCCACCCGCUCCCACAGCCUCGUCCUCGGCACCCACACCUCUGAUGACUCCCCCAACCACCUCAUGCUCGUCGACGCCGUGCUCUAGCUCCUGCCGUGCCUGGCCGUGGCGGCUGCCGCCGAGGGCCGCGCCGCCCCGUCCGUGUCCAUCGGUCACUCAGCGCCGCAUAAGGGCGAGGUCAACAGCGCCGGGUGCAUGUCUACCGCCUUGGGGAGGACGGCGUGGAGGUAUGGACUGGCGUGGAGCACGAUGAAGGAGGGGUUCCUGCUGAGCGGCUCGUACAAUAAGAAGAUUUGCAUAUGGAUCUCAAGGCCGGGAAUCGAGCCCCAGUUCUAGAUGCGCAACAGGUGUUUGAGGUCGCUGUUAAGGCCUCGAGCUGGCUGCGACCAAGCACGGCCUCUAGCUCGCCCUGCACCGCGAUUGCAGUCGCGCGGCUGAUGACCACGGGCUGCUCCACGCACGGACGACAAGCACGGCAUCCGCGAUCAAGGAGAACCUGAGAUGCAACAUCAACGUGGUGGUCAUUUAUCAGAAAGGCAAGUUCUUAUGA